rnacentral:piRNA from 1 species
AGCGAUGACACAGAUAGAUCAGUACC